rnacentral:rRNA from 1 species
UACGAAGGGUGCAAGCGUUGCUCGGAAUUAUUGGGCGUAAAGCGCACGUAGGCGGCAUCGCAAGUCCCAUGUGAAAGCCCACGGCUUAACCGUGGAAGUGCAUGGGAAACUGCAGUGCUUGAGUACUUAAGAGGAUCGCGGAAUUCCCGGUGUAGAGGUGAAAUUCGUAGAUAUCGGGAGGAACACCAGUGGCGAAGGCGGCGAUCUGGGAAGAUACUGACGCUGAGGUGCGAAAGCGUGGGGAGCGAACAGG